rnacentral:snoRNA from 1 species
UAGUUAGAGGCAUGAUGUACUACAAGAGAGCCUUGAAGCUUCAAGCUUUUCUUGACAUGGCUUCUGAGUCUGGUGAGCUU